AUUGAACGCUGGCGGCAGGCUUAACACAUGCAAGUCGAGCGAGCGGCGGACGGGUGAGUAAUGUAUGGGAAACUGCCUGAUGGAGGGGGAUAACUACUGGAAACGGUAGCUAAUACCGCAUACCAUCAGAUGUGCCCAGAUGGGAUUAGCUAGUAGGUGGGGUAAAGGCUCACCUAGGCAACGAUCCGUAGCUGGUUUGAGAGGAUGACCAGCCACACUGGGACUGAGACACGGUCCAGACUCCUACGGGAGGCAGCAGUGGGGAAUUUUGGACAAUGGGGGCAAGCCUGAUGCAGCCAUGCCGCGUGUGUGAUGAAGGCCUUCGGGUUGUAAAGCACUUUUAGCGAAGAAGCGUUACUUGCAGAAGAAGCACCGGCUAACUCCGUGCCAGCAGCCGCGGUAAUAC
rnacentral:rRNA from 1 species